UACGGGGGGGGCAAGCGUUGUUCGGAAUUACUGGGCGUAAAGGGCUUGUAGGCGGCCAACUAAGUCGGAUGUGAAAUCCCCAAGCUUAACUUGGGAACUGCAUCCGAUACUGGAUGGCUUGAAUCCGGGAGAGGGAUGCAGAAUUCCAGGUGUAGCGGUGAAAUGCGUAGAUAUCUGGAGGAAUACCGGUGGCGAAGGCGGCAUCCUGGACCGGCAUUGACGCUGAGGAGCGAAAGCUAGGGGAGCAAACGGG
rnacentral:rRNA from 1 species